CUGGCUUUGCCACCAAGCAAUUCUGCAAUCUUGAGAUUACCUUGACCUUUUCCUUCAUGUCUUCAAAAAUCUGUUAUUUUUCUUGAGGUGGUCCCCCAAGAUGAAGAGGGAAUUCGGCAAUUAUUUGGUGAGUUAUAUUGACAGCAGGAAAGGCAAUUUCCUGGUCCAUUCUAAUAAGGUAUACUAAAAGUGCUGUUCGUUUUGGUCAAGUUAGCUAGCUGCUUCUAAACAGAUUUUUUUUUUUCGCUCCAUAGAGAUGCAGCAUGUGAUGAUGGAGGCUACGUUUCACCUGAGGUAGAGGAGAAUUUUAAGGAAAGAUGAAACAGUUCAACUCAGAGGUCUCACACCUACUCUGGAGGACACAGAAAGAAGAGAAUUAGGAAAACAGAUAAAGGACUUUUAGGUUAUUUUCCAAUGCCAUUAAAAUUCAGAUAGUGACUUUUUUUUUUUUUCGUAGAAAUCAGUUAAUGUUUUGUGUUUUUUUCCAACCAAACUCAGCCAGAGUGUUCUUUUUUUUUAAUUUUUAUUUUAUAUUGGAGUAUAGUUGAUUUACAAUGUUAUGUUAGUUUCAGGUGUACAGAUAGUGACCUUUAUAAAAUGGUUUGAGAAGGAAAAGAAGUUACUAUAUCAGUGCAACAUCUCACUAAGGGCAGAAAACAGUUUUCUAUGUGAGAGGCUUUUUUCCUCUCCUUCACUUAACAAAAAGUACAGCAACUAGUGGCUGCCCUCAUGGCUUAUGUAAGCUCACUGAUAGCUGCAUAGCUAUGGUGAAAACAGAAGCCUUGAACCAGGCAGGGUGGGUGCAUCCACUCACAUGUGCUUGUGAUUCCCUUUGAUGUACCAGGCACUGUGUGCUAGCAGCUGGGGAUACAGUGUUAAGGCGGAACAAGCUGGAAACCUGGCGUGAUGACUGUUGUGAAGUGGGAUCAGUAGGAUGAUUUGGGAAUGUAAUUAGGAGCCUAAUCUAGUUGGUGGGAGGCUCCGAGGGAAAGCCACUAUGAAGAAGUGGUAGUUCAGCUGAGACUUGAAGGCUGAGUAGGAGUAAGCCAGGUGAAAGGGAGGCACAUUAAGGAAGGAGAAACAACAUGUGCAAAAUACCUGAGACAAAUGAGAACCUUCCGUAUUCAAGGAAACUGAAAAAAAUGGACUGUGAACAGUAAAGGAGAGCGCCUCCUGAGAUGGGCUAGCCAAGAAGGCAAGGCCGACUGAGAUAUCAGCUCCUUUCUUCCUUGACAGUGAAAAAGAAACAAGUAGCAGUGGUGCAAUUCUGGCUGUGGCUAUUGCCCAGAUUUGAGGUGUGUUGGUCUCAAAGCCCCCUUUCAUACCUUAUAGCUGAAAUGUGAUCAUCAGAUCUUCAACCCACUUAUGACUUCUUCCACACAGCUAGAUGUUAGGUUACCAGCUUUUUUCUCCAGCUUUACUGAGGUAUAACGGGCAAAACCGUAGGAUAUUUAAAGCAUACAACAUAAUGAUUAGAUUCUCCUCAUUGUGAAUGGAUGGCUAAAACUGAGUUUAUUAUUAACACAAGCUUAAUAAUAAACACAAAGUUAUCAGCUUUUAAAUCUUAGGGCUAACAAACUCUUAACUCUACGUUUUGUCAUAGGUGUUGAGUGGGUACUGGGUGCCUGAGGGGGCAGGGGCCCCUGAGAUUUGUAGGGCCACUUUCCGUAACCCUUUCAACCUUGCAGAAUGUCUGCUAUUACAGGAGUCAACAUGACACUGUACAGCAGCUCUGCCCUGGCUCCAAAGACUGCAGCUUUUCUUUUUAGUUGAUUCCCAGUGCUGCCUUCUUCCUUCCAGGCCCUGGCCUGAAGCUGUAGGGAAGUUGUGUAUCUGCUUCUUCAAUGAGAUUCCCUUUCUGAGAAUAGCAUGGGCAAAAUUUCUCUGCUACGUUUGUCAUCUUCCCUUCUUUAAUAUCGUUCAUUGGCUACCCAAAUUUGCCCACUUUGACAUUCUCAACAUCCCCCUUCACCCAAGAACAAUAACUGCAUUGAACAACAACAACAAGAAGCAAUGAUAAAAAAUAAAAACAUAGCCUGAGUGAUCCAAUACAGAGACAAUACAAGCCUUUGGGUGAAUUUAUACUAAAGUGUAAAUGACUGAAACAUGCAUAUCUUCUCCAGUCUCCCUUGUGAAAAGUACAUUCUCUUGCAUAUUUUUAUUUUAAAGAAGUUUGCCUAUUAGCCUGAGGUUUUAAUUAGCCAGUGAAUCAAAAUGAAGUCUUUCUAACUGCAUAAAGUAUUUUAGACCACAGGAUCAUUUUUUUCUGAAACCUUUGGCACCAGCAGGCAGCCACGGACACUGCCAAAAGGAAUUAGACUCUGGACUGAUUUUCAUGUAUUAGUUAUUUUUACCCUCUUCAAAAUCUAUCAACUGUUCAAACCUGCAUACACAAACAGGAACAUUGGGAAGAAGAGUCCCAGAGGGUGGAAGAUCCCCUACUCAUCCCACGUGCCUCACCUCAUGUCACACACUCCUCUCUCUCUCCCCUUGCUGGGGACCUACCCCAAGGCCAUCCCAGCUGGUCUCAAGGCACUGACCGAGUCCUGCUUCACAGCCGCUGGAAGUGCCAACCCACUCGCGUCCCCAGACCCGAUCCUUCCACGGGACACCCAGCUAGGGUCUACAGCGAGUGACCCUGCCGUGGGAGGCGCGGCCCCCCAUCACCUGCCCAAGCCGGCGGAGCAGGGCCUGAAGCCCCGCGCGCUCAGCCAACCGCAGCUCCCCAGGCCGCUAUCCAGGACCCAACUCAGGCGAGCACAGGACCCCCUGUUUGGGGUUAUUUGUUCGCCUCCCUCCUGGUUCCUGCUCCCAAACCUUCCACCCAGCAGCCGCCGCCAGCGCACCCGAACCGCAGGAAAGUUGCUCUCUAGCUGUGGAGGGGAGUCAUCGCCUCCUAGCAACGCUCCUAGCAACCGGUAACAUCUGCUCCCUCUGGUCCAAUGCGAGCCGAGAACAGCUGCGCGCCCGCCUCGCGUCGCGAACCCUGAGCGAGAGGAGCUUCAGAGACUGGAGGGACGGACCUGCAGGAGCCAGGGCAGCCCGCCGAGCUGCAGUUGCCGCUGCUGCCACUGUCGCGCCGCCGCCGCCGUCGCUGUCAGCGCCCGUCUGAAGAGUGACAGCGCCGCAAAACGGGAGGGAGCACCGGAUCCCGCGCCUUUAUGAAACAGGUAGCCAUUCAUGAGCCCGAGGCUUUGAGAAAUGCUCGCUGUGCAAAGGGGAACUCUCACCAGAUUUUCUGAAGCUGUCCUAGAGAUACACUUUUCAGAUUGAUUCAGCAUUACCAGCUUAUCCAACAAAAGUAUUAACACAUACGUUAACAACGUCGAAAGUAGCCUACUUUAAGAGAAAAUAUGCAGAAGAAGAAGAUUUACAUCAAGAUUACCAUGGGUAUUUUCCAAAACACCUGAUACUGCCUGAGGACAGGACUUGCAUUCUCAAACUUUCUCUAGAGAAGCUCAGAUUUCUUGAAGACCCAGAAACCUACUUAAGAAGGUCUGUGUUAAUUAACAAUUUGCUGAGGAAGAUCCAUCUAGAGACGGAGAAAGAGAGCUAUGAAUACUUUAAAGAAGCUCCCUGUUAUAAGACUGCUUAUUCUGAUACAAGAAAACGGCUGAAGUUUAUGGU